rfam:Moniliophthora roreri MCA 2997 sctg_0206_0002, whole genome shotgun sequence.
GCCCGCGUUGUCUAAUGGUUAUGACGUCAGACUUCUAUUACAACGAUCACCGUUGAAUAAGUAAUCUGGAGGUUGCGGGUUCGAGUCCCGCCGUGGGUU